rnacentral:rRNA from 1 species
GACGAACGCUGGCGGCGUGCUUAACACAUGCAAGUCGAACGAUGAAACCUAGCUUGCUAGGUCGAUUAGUGGCGAACGGGUGAGUAACACGUGACUAACCUGCCCCUUUCUCUGGGAUAACGCUCCGAAAGGAGUGCUAAUACCGGAUACUCACACCGAGGCACAUGCCUUGGUGUGGAAAGUUUUUCGGAAAGGGAUGGAGUCGCGGCCUAUCAGCUUGUUGGUGAGGUAACGGCUCACCAAGGCGACGACGGGUAGCCGGCCUGAGAUGGCGACCGGGCACACUGGGGCUGAGACACGGCCCAGACUCCUACGGGAGGCAGCAGUGGGGAAUAUUGCACAAUGGGCGCAAGCCUGAUGCAGCGACGCCGCGUGAGGGAUGAAGGUCUUCGGAUUGUAAACCUCUUUCAGUAGGGACGAAGCGAAAGUGACGGUACCUAAAGAAGAAGCACCGGCUAACUACGUGCCAGCAGCCGCAGUAA